AUACAUGCAGUCGAGCGGAAGAUGGGAGCUUGCUCCCUGAUGUUAGCGGCGGACGGGUGAGUAACACGUGGGUAACCUGCCUGUAAGACUGGGAUAACUCCGGGAAACCGGGGCUAAUACCGGAUGGUUGUUUGAACCGCAUGGUUCAAACAUAAAAGGUGGCUUCGGCUACCACUUACAGAUGGACCCGCGGCGCAUUAGCUAGUUGGUGAGGUAACGGCUCACCAAGGCAACGAUGCGUAGCCGACCUGAGAGGGUGAUCGGCCACACUGGGACUGAGACACGGCCCAGACUCCUACGGGAGGCAGCAGUAGGGAAUCUUCCGCAAUGGACGAAAGUCUGACGGAGCAACGCCGCGUGAGUGAUGAAGGUUUUCGGAUCGUAAAGCUCUGUUGUUAGGGAAGAACAAGUACCGUUCGAAUAGGGCGGUACCUUGACGGUACCUAACCAGAAAGCCACGGCUAACUACGUGCA
rnacentral:rRNA from 1 species